GGGCGAUCUUAUCACCAACCUACGGAUAAGGAAUCUGGCUGGGAAGGGCUGAAUGACCUGCUCAAGGUCACACAUCUAGAAAGAGGCACCUUCAGGACUUGAAUGAGAUGACUUUUAUAUCAAUGCCUGGGCUCCUAAUCGCCAUGCUGUCUUGACCGUCUGCAACAAACCCUUCACUCAACAAAUGGGGAUGUUAAGGCCCAGAAAGGCAAAGAAAGUUCCCCAAGGUCACAAGAUCAAUUGGCCACAUAGUUGAGGCUGGCUAAGAGAAAAGAAUAAUUUCUUGCUGGAUUCUUGGGAGAACCAUACAGGAAUAAGGUGUGACGGGACAGGGAGGAAGAUUAGAGCAAAACAAGGGAGUUGAAGUGAGGGAGUUAGGAGGAGAACCUGGAUACCCCAGAAAACCCCAGCUCCAAUGUAGCCCACCCUAGCAGCCCAGGUGAUGGUGAGAGAUGCAACUCACUUCUUCUGCUUCUUCUCCAGCUCAUGGUUUCGACUUUGUUGGUUCUCUAGCAGGACGCGGGUAUCCUCAAGGUCACAGACCCCUGAUCUCCAUUCCCCUGGACAUCUCAAGGGCACAAAUUCUCUGGACACACGGAGGGAAUAAUGCUGACAUUUUAUAGAAGCUGAGCCACUGGAUAUCCUUCUCACCCAACUCCAUUAGGCUGGGGAGAGUAAGAGGCACGGUGACAAGG
rnacentral:lncRNA from 1 species